rnacentral:rRNA from 1 species
UUUAAUGGCCGCAGUAAUUUGACUGUGCAAAGGUAGCAUAAUCAAUAGUUUAUUAAUUGUAAGCUUGUAUGAAAGGUUGGACGAAAUAAAUUCUGUCUCUAUAUAAUUUAAUAAGAAUUUAAUUUAUAAGUUAAAAAGCUUAUAUAUUAGUAAUAGACGAGAAGACCCUAUAGAGUUUUAUAAAUUUAAUUUAAAUAUUUGAUUAUGAUUUUUUUAUUAUAUUUAAUUAAAUUUAUUUUAUUGGGGUAAUAGAAAGAUUAAAUAAAUUCUUUUUUAUAUUUUAUAUUAAUAUAUAUUUUUUUGAUCCAUUAUUAUUGAUUAUAAGAUUAAAUUACCUUAGGGAUAACAGCGUAAUUUUUUUAGAGAGUUCAUAUUGAUAAAAAAGUUUGCGACCUCGAUGUUGGAUUAAAGAUUAAUUUAGGUGCAAAAGUUUAAAUUUUUGGUCUGUUCGACCAUUGAAUCUUUACAUGAUCUGAGUUCAGACCGGUGUGAGCCAGGUCGGUUUCUAUCUUUAUUAGAUUUUAAUAUUUUAGUACGAAAGGACCAAAUAUUUAUUAUAUUAAUUUUAUUUUGAAUAUUAUUAAAUUAUUUUGGCAGAUUAGUGCAAUGAAUUUAGAAUUCAUGAAUAUAAAUAUUUUAUAAAUAAUACUUGUAUUUAAUAGAUUUAAUUUUUUUAUUUAUUAGUUAUUUUUUAUUAGUUAUUUGUGUUUUAAUUAGAGUAGCUUUUU